AUUGAACGCUGGCGGCAGGCCUAACACAUGCAAGUCGAACGAGUGGCGGACGGGUGAGUAAGGUCUGGGAAACUGCCCGAUGGAGGGGGAUAACUACUGGAAACGGUGGCUAAUACCGCAUAAUAUCGGAUGAACCAAAAUGGGAUUAGCUAGAAGGUGGGGUAAAGGCUCAACUAGGCGACGAUCUAUAGCUGUUCUGAGAGGAUGAUCAGCCACACUGGGACUGAGACCCGGCCCAGACUCCUACGUGAGGCAGCAGUGGGGAAUCUUGCACAAUUGGCGCAAGCCUGAUGCAGCCAUGCCGCGUGUAUGAAGAAGGCCGUAGGGUUGUAAAGUACUUUCAGCGGGGAGGCGUUACCCGCAUAAGAAGCACCGGCUAACUCCGUGCCAGCAGCCGCGGUAAUUC
rnacentral:rRNA from 1 species